rnacentral:rRNA from 1 species
GACGAAGGUGGCGAGCGUUGUUCGGAAUCACUGGGCAUAAAGCGCACGUAGGUGGUGUCGUAAGUCGGGUGUGAAAUCCCUCGGCCUAACCGGAGGAACUGCGCCCGAUACUGCGAUGCUUGAGGAUCAGAGGGGUGCAUGGAAUUUCCGGUGGAGCGGUGAAAUGCGUUGAUAUCGGAAGGAACUCCGGCGGCGAAAGCGAUGCACUGGCUGAUUUCUGACACUGAGGUGCGAAAGCCAGGGGAGCAAACGGG